GCCCUUAAUAUGCUUAGGUUGUGGACAAAUAUGUUUAAAUGCCAAGGGGAAAGAAUAAGGAGAAGUUGGAAAUCUGUUGAGAGAAGAUACAUAACUCAUGAUGGUAGGUGAAAUGAAAGUGGCCAGAAUCCGGAGCCAAGGUGGAGGAUUUCACUUAGGGAGAGAAGGCACAGUAUUUCUGAGUUGGGUAAGACAAUAAGAACUAGAAGAGGAUCUAAGCCUUACUUAGCAUGGUUUUUUUCAAAUGGACAGUUCAGCUCCUGAGCUCAGCUUCUUGUCCCCGCUGAUUUGUGCACGGAUUUAUGAAUCGCCCAGCGGACCGCCCUGCUUCCUCUGCCCACGCCUCCAGCCUGGACCGUAGGAGACUGACUCUGAGCCACCAGGCACCACCACCACCACCACCCGCCCCCCCCAGUCCAAAGUUUUAUAGUCCAGUUCAAAACAAAACAGGAAUGGAAAAGCCAACAUCACAGAGUUCCCUUAAUGAACAUUGAAGUUAAAGAUUCAGGAAGGAGCACAUAACCUAAUGUAUUCCAAGGAGAGAUGAAGAGAUAUUUGCUGGAGACUUACCUAGAAAAGAUAAGUCUUCACUAGAGACUCCAUCAUUUAAAGUACUGCUCAGUAAUUGACUAUCGGAAGAAGAAAAUUGUACCCAGACGGUAGGAACAGAAUUCAUAAAUGGAUGGUCUGUGCUUCCCUGCUAACCAGCCCUCUGUCCCUCAAGACAUUUAUGAUCUGUUCCAACAACUGAAAAAUGGGGACUUAGAGUACACAGUAUAUGAAGGCUUAUAUUCCUCCUGCCAUAAAUGUCUACUUUAGAAUCAAGAUCUGAAGAGAACGAUCAUCUUUACCUCUACUCUGCUUGUGUCUGCCUUGGCCCUACAUUGAGCAAAUUCCAUCGAUAACAGUUGCUUUGACGGAAGGCUGUAGCAGGUUAUAAUGCCAGUGAGUAGAGAAGCCCUUUGAGGAACUAUAAUGAGUUCCUCAUAGCACACAGACAGAUGUGCUAUGUCCCGGCAAGGGAAGUAUCCAAUGGCCAGCCUUCAGAGUACAGUCAGUGUGAUGUUUUGCCCGGAGACUAUUAUUAUCCCAAAUGAGAAGGAAUGUGUGGUACUAUUAGAAAUGAAUACGUCAAGCUAUAGUCAAACACCAGGAGAUAAAUAGAAAGGAGCAAGUUAGAAAACCACCCUGUUAACUCCCUCAUGCACUUGUGACAAAGACCUUCCUUCAACCAAAUCGUGGAUACAACUGCUUCCUACCGUUCUUUUCAUUAUUCUCUUGGGCCAUUAUUUGCAAGUCAAGUGAGUAAUUCAUAGGUGUGUGUUCAUUAAGAACCACUGCAUGGAGUCAUUCUCUCUUUGAAUUAGACACCAACAAACAGAACUGAUUUCUAAAAUAAUUGAUGAGAAUUAAUUUUACUACCAAAUAGAGAUACUAUAGAGGAGAAUUUGGAGAAUGAUUAAGAAGUGCCUAUAAUGAAAAUCGUCAUACUACAUAUUACAUUACAUGUAAUGUUAUAUAUCCCAUAUUCAAGACUAUGUUAACAACAAACUUUUUGGUAAUGAAUUAUAAUAGCUUAACUGAUAAUUCUUUUUUGACUCAUGAUACAGAAUUAAGCAGAAAAGGACUUCUGAAAAUAUGGUAUUUCAAUAUUAAAUCAUUUUAUGCAAAUCAUUUCAUUCUAUUUACUUUUUAUACUUCUAGUAAGGUAUUUAAUUCUCCUGUGUUGGUUAUGUCAGGUUACAUGUCUAUGCUUGUCAAUGGGUAAUAAUAAACAUUUAUUAGUGACUUACUUACCAAUAAUAAUGUUUUAACCAGAAUAACUCAAUAUGUUGUUCUUUCUAUACAAGGAUCAAUAAAAUUGUAAAAUAGAUGCAAUAAACCAGAUUCUUAAACAUAUACUAAAUUAAGAAAAAUAGUUAAGUGAAUUUAACAUUCUCAAGAGUAUUAUUUGCUUAUAAUUUCAAAAAAUUACCACUUUUUUACUGUAAUUUGAAAGACAGCUAAAUAAAAUUUUAGUCACCUCUCUUGAGAAUUCAUUUUUAAUUAUCAUGCUUCUCUAAUU